rnacentral:rRNA from 1 species
GACGAACGCUGGCGGCGUGCUUAACACAUGCAAGUCGAACGAUUAAGCACCAGCUUGCUGGUGUGGAUUAGUGGCGAACGGGUGAGUAACACGUGAGUAACCUGCCCCUCACUCUGGGAUAAGCCUGGGAAACUGGUUCUAAUACUGGAUACGACCGAUCUCCGCAUGGAGUGUUGGUGGAAAGUUGUUGUGGUGGGGGAUGGACUCGCGGGCUAUCAGCUUGUUGGUGGGGUCAUGGCCUACCAAGGCGACGACGGGUAGCCGGCCGGAGAGGGCGACCGGCCACACUGGGACUGAGACACGGCCCAGACUCCUACGGGGGGCAGCAGUGGGGAAUAUUGCACAAUGGGCGAAAGCCUGAUGCAGCGACGCCGCGUGAGGGAUGACGGCCUUCGGGUUGUAAACCUCUUUCACCAGGGACGAAGCUAACGUGACGGUACCUGGAGAAGAAGCACCGGCUAACUACGUG